CUGAAUUUGUGCCAGAGUUUGCAUGCUCCAUUUACACAGAAUGCACCACUUAUGACAGAAGACAUGCAUGAAGAACGACUCCGUGCUGUCGAGGCCUUUGGUGAUUCAUUUUUCUCUCAAGCCGAAGCAAGAUUCAAUAUGCAUUAUGCAUUUUAAUGAUAUGUAUCAAUUUAACAAGUCAUUACUCAAAACCGGUACUGUCAGCUUCUUCCUGGGAGUCAUACGUUGGCUUUCUCUUGCACAACUUCAUUUUUUUGUAAUUCAUGAUAGUUAAUCCCUUCAUUAUUUGGUUAAUGGGUGUUUGAUCGUUAAUUUAUGGCUCUAUUUGAAUCAGGAAUUUUA